GUCUUUUUAUUGUUAUUUGUACAAUCCAAAGUAUUUCUACAUUUCGUACAAUGACUUCUCGUUGUUAAACUAGGAGUGAGCUGUAGUUUUUGAAUAUGAAAAGUAGUUUCACGCUUUUGCCAUCUUCUUGAGCAGCUUUGAGACGAGAAUUGCUUGUGAAUAAUUUAUAUAAUAUUUUCAGAAGUAUUUUGUAGAAUUUUUUAAUUUGUGGUCGUGUUAAACAUGUUUGUAUGUGUAUUUGAUAAUGUUGUUGUUCUUUGAGGCAUCUUUGAUGGAACUCUAUUUUUUUCCACUACAAUUUAACUAAAAUAGAGUAACUUAUAUGAUUUUCUGGUCACUGCAUGUGAUUAAUAUUAAGAUUUGAACAAUAUAUUUUCUUUGACCAAAUUUACAAAAUGACUUAAUUGGUCAAAUAUAUAAAUAAAUAUCAUUAAUUUGCAUGUAUCGAUAUGGAAAGAUCAAUUAAAAUAAAAUAAAAUAGAAAUGGAAAUUUAUGAUUUCCCAAGACUAAAAGUUUUAUAAACAGAGCUUUUUUACAAGAGAUGAAAAGCUAAGGAUAUUUCUCUUGCUAUAUAUUUUGUACAGAAGAAAAAUUAUGGCGAACACACAAAAGUUGGUGAUUUUUUCUCUUGUUGUGAUAUUAGCAGCUUUAAUGUUUAACACCAACAUUUUGGUUUCAGGUGGGGAACACGAGAAAAAAAUCAAGUAUACUUACUGCGCUAAGACUUUAUGCACGGACAGCUACUUACCUCAUAUGUGCUUUUUUGAUUGUACUACUAAAGGGUUUCAAACCGGAACUUGUAUAGUCCCUUCUCCUAAUACUCCACUAAGAUGUUGUUGUGGUACCUUGUAGGUUGUGGCCAUCAUCUACCUAAUCUAAUAAAAUGAUUAAUGAUUUAA